rnacentral:rRNA from 1 species
AAAAAUAACGAUACGGGACUCUAUUGAGGCCCCGUAAUCGGAAUGAGUACACUUUAAAUCCUUUAACAAGGAUCCAUUGGAGGGCAAGUCUGGUGCCAGCAGCCGCGGUAAUUCCAGCUCCAAUAGCGUAUAUUAAAGUUGUUGCGGUUAAAAAGCUCGUAGUUGGUUCUGCGUGCCGCGCUGUCGGUUCGCCGCCUGUCGGUGUAACUGGCAUGUCGCGGCAUGUCCUGUCGGUGGUGAACGGAGUCCACAAUGCUACAUAGGCUUUAUAGCCGAUGUUAGCGUCGUGUGUACUUCCGUUGGCCGAUCUCUCCUACUUCGGUGCUCUUAAACGAGUGUCGAGGUAGGCCGACACGUUCACUUUGAACAAAUUAGAGUGCUUAAAGCAGGCUGAAAUAUCUGCCUGAAUAGUGGUGCAUGGAAUGAUAAAACAGGACCUCGGUUCUAUUUUGUUGGUUUUAGGAAUAUGAGGUAAUGAUCAAUGUGGACUGGCGGGGGCAUUCGUAUUGCGACGUUAGAGGUGAAAUUCUUGGAUCGUCGCAAGACGCACUAGAGCGAAAGCAUUUGCCAAGUAUGUCUUAAUUGAUCAAGAACGAAAGUUAGAGGUUCGAAGGCGAUCAGAUACCGCCCUAGUUCUAACCAUAAACGAUGCCAGCCAGCGAUCCGCCGAUGUUCCUUUAAUGACUCGGCGGGGAGCUUCCACCCGGGAAACCAAAGCUUUUGGGUUCCGGGGGAAGUAUGGUUGCAAAGCUGAAACUUAAAGGAAUGACGGAAGGGCACC